UUUUUUCUGCGAGACCGAAUUGCAGUCGGUUGCAAGCUUCAAUACAGACAAUGGUUCUUGAUAUUAAAGCUACCAACCGCCUUCAAAUCGUGCAUCGCGA
rnacentral:pre_miRNA from 18 species